GUAGGGUAUGAGGAGGAGAGAGAAGAGGUAGGGUAUGAGGAGGAUGGAGAGAGAGAAGAGGUAGGGUAUGAGGAAGAGAGAGAGAGAAGAGGUAGGGUAUGAGGAGGAGAGAGAGAGAAGAGGUAGGGUAUGAGGAGGAGAGAGAGAGAAGAGGUAGGGUAUGAGGAGGAUGGAGAGAGAGAAGAGGUAGGGUAUGAGGAGGAUGGAGAGAGAGAAGAGGUAGGGUAUGAGGAGGAGAGAGAGAGAGAAGAGGUAGGGUAUGAGGAGGAUGGAGAGAGAGAAGAGGUAGGGUAUGAGGAGGAUGGAGAGAGAGAGAGAAGAGGUAGGGUAUGAGGAGGAUGGAGAGAGAGAAGAGGUAGGGUAUGAGGAGGAGAGAGAGAGAGAAGAGGUAGGGUAUGAGGAGGAUGGAGAGAGAGAAGAGGUAGGGUAUGAGGAGGAGAGAGAGAAGAGGUAGGGUAUGAG
ensembl:lncRNA